UACGUAGGGUGCGAGCGUUAAUCGGAAUUACUGGGCGUAAAGCGUGCGCAGGCGGUUCGUUAUGUCCGAUGUGAAAGCCCCGAGCUCAACUUGGGAAUGGCAUUGGAAACUGGCGGGCUGGAGUGUGGCAGAGGGGGGUGGAAUUCCACGUGUAGCAGUGAAAUUCGUAGAUAUUGGGAAGAACACCGGUGGCGAAGGCGGCUCACUGGCCCGUAACUGACGCUCAUGCACGACAGCGUGGGGAUCAAACAGG
rnacentral:rRNA from 1 species